AUUGAGGGGCAUCCCGCCUAGAACCUCCAGGAAAAGCUCGCGGAAGACGAGGUUCUGCGGAGAGAGAGGCUCCAAGCAGUCUGGGAAGUGUAGUCCAGUUGGCUUAGCAGUAGUUUCGUGGGGGGGAGCCGAGGUUCCGGGAAGGGGCUAGGCCGGCUUGAAAAGAGAUUAUGACUGUACCUUUUAACUCUGUAGCUGGAACACAAGAAGUGUUUGUUUAAUGAAUGACGUACACAUUUAAGAUCUGUUUGGACGCUGAGGAUAAUCCUGUGAAUUGCUAAUAGUUCACUGGGUUUGGCCCUUAGUGUUGACUUCAGUAUGCUGAGACGGAAACCAACACGCCUAGAGCUAAAGCUUGAUGACAUUGAAGAGUUUGAGAACAUUCGAAAGGACCUGGAGGCAUAAAGACCAGAACCCCUAAUUCAGAAAAGAGUCAAUUUCAGAAGGGACUACCAAAGAAAGAAGCCUAAAAUCUUGGUUCUGGUGUGACUCUAGAUGGAAUCUUGCUAUGUUGCCCAGGCUGGAAUGCAAUGGCUAUUCACAGGCAUGAUCCCACUACUGAUCAAUACAGGAGUUUUGACCUGCUCCAUUUCUGAUCUAGGCUGGUUCACCAGGCAACCUGGUGGUUCCCUGCUCCUGGGCUUGUUUCUUGGUAAAUACUUUGUCUAUAUGGAAUGCAUCUAAUAAAUGAAUGCUCUCCUA
rnacentral:sRNA from 1 species